AGCUAAGAUAGCAUCAUUGCACACUAGCCUGGGCAGAGCGAGACUCCACCUAAAAAAAAAAAAAAAGAAGAGCUGAUAAAACUUUGGUUAAGGUAAUAACAAUGAAGAUGGAGAGAAGGAAAAGGGUUCAAGAGAUAUUUAAGCAGAACUAUAGGACUUAGAAAUUAGAUGGAAACUAUGGAAACUAGAAUGGCAGAGUGAUUUGCUCCAGAUGGGGUCUUUUAGAUGUUGACUGAUCUCUGACUUUAUUAAGUGUAGAAGAUACCACCUACCGAGAUUUUGGGUGUAAAACAUCUUUAAAUCAUUGACAUAACAUCAAAGGUUAGAUGUGCAGGUUCACUUCUGUCUCUUCUGAUAAAAAGCCUUUCUCUUAGUUAUAUUAAUAGUAAAUUGAGCUGGGAGGAGAUUCAAAGAUGUUCAACAAAUAUUUGUUGAGCACACAUUAUAUGCCAAGCACUGUGAUAAGGAUACAAUGGUGAGCAAUACAGUCAUGGACUCUGACUUUAUGAGGUAUAUAAUGAAACACCAUUAAAAGCACUACACACCGGCUGCUUGCUUUGCUCCAUGCCUCCCCGAUGAAGCCCCUGUCAUAGCUGCCGCCAAGCCUGCCACCACCACCUCUGAGCAGAAGAUGACUGUGCCACCCAAGUAUGCCAAUCUUGGCAAAUCUGCCAGGAAUGUCUUCACUAAGGGCUAUGGAUAUGGCCUAAUAAAACUUGAUUUGAAAACAAAAUCUGAGAAUGCAUUGGAAUUUGUAAGCUUAGGCUCAACCAACACUGAAAUUCACCAAGGCAGUCUGGAGACCAAGUACAGAUGGACUGAAUAUGGCCUGAUGUUUAUGAAGUGAAACACACAACACUAGGACUGAGAUUACUGUGGAAGAUCAUCUUGCAAGUGGACUGAAGCUGACCCUCGAUUCAUCCUUGUCACCUAACACUGGGGGAAAAUGCUAACAUCAACACCAGGUACAAGCAGGAGCACAUCAACCUGGACUGUAACCUGGAUUUUGACAUCGCUCGGCCUUCAAUCUGGGGCGCUCUGGUGCUGGGUUACAAGGGUGGCUGGCUAGCUACCAGAUAAAUUUUGAGGCUGCAAAAUCCUGAGUGACCCAGAGCAACUUUGCGGUUGGCUACAAGUCUGAUGAACUCCAACUUCACACUAAUGUGAAAAUGGGACAGUUUGGUGGCUCCAUUUACCAGAAGGUAAAUAACAAGUUGGAGAUCACUGUCAAUUUUACCUGGACAGCAGGAAACAGUAACACUCACUUUGGAAUACCCAAGUAUCUGAUCAACUCUGACACCUCCUUCUUGGCUAAGUGAACAACUCUCGCCUAAUAGGUUUAGAAUACACUGAGACCCUAAAGCUAGGUAUCAAAAUGACACUGUCAGCUGUCCUGAAUGGCAAGAAUAACAAUGCCGGUGGUUACACACUAGGUCUGGAACUGAAAUUUCGAGCAUAAAUACUGUACAAUUAUUUAUUUUUACAUUAUUUUGCAGCAGAGCUACCUUUAGAAUUUAGUGUAUCUUUUACUGUAUGCUUGGGAUGCAAGCAUUGCUAAAUGUUAGACUUCCAGGCUAAGUAUGUUAGAUUUCCAGGCUAAAGAUAAUUCAGUUUUAAAAUGUUACCCUUUCAGAGAUAGAGAAGAAACCCAAUUCCAAAAAACGUCCUUUCAGCUAUAGACUUGGAGAGGCAACUUGGUGGCCCCUCCUCAGAAGCCAGUUUUCUUUUUUAUCUAGAAAUGACUGUACGUGGAAGUUGGUAAUAUGUAGGCAUUUUGUAAAUUCAUAUUGAGUAAAUGAAUGAAAUUGUGACUUCCUGAGAAUUGAACCUUGGUUUCCUAACCCUAAUUAAUGAUAGGCUUGUUGCUUGAUGGUGUGUGCAAACUCACUUGAAAGAGACUCUUUUAGACAGAUCUUCGUGAUCUUUCCACCCCAGUUAAUCAUCACCUCUUUUACACCAAAAUGUCUGCAGGGUGUGGUAACUGUUUGUUUUGUGCCAUUCUGGGGUAAAGAGGGUAGAUGUGAUGAAGCCAAUAAUUCAGGACUUAAUUCCUUCUCAUGCCGUGGUUUUGUGCCCUUCCACCAGAAUAUGAAAUAGCUUCCACGAGUUCCAGAUAUAAGCUUGGAAGAAUCACAUGGUGAUAACACUCAGAAUCUAAAUUGGACUUCUGUUGUAUUCUCACCACUCAAUUUAUUUUUUAGCAGUUUAAUGGGUGUAUUUUAGAGUCUUCCAUUUUGUGUGAAUUUAGAUCCUCCCCUUCAAAUGCUGUAAUUAACAUCAUUCAAAGUAAAAUUUGAAAAAUAUAUUGAAAAAAGUGUGAUAUACCAAAAGCAUGAGGAAUUAUGGGAGCUGGAGUCUGGGGAAGAGUUAUCUGAGGAAAUAGUAACUAGGAUCUCAAGAAUGAGUAGAUAAAGGCAGAAGGCAUUGUAAGCCAGGAAACAGCACAUACAAAGGCCUUGAGAUGAAACAGCAUAUGACAAUUUAGAGGAAGCGAAAGAAGGCCAGUGUGGCUACAGCACAGAAGGAAAGAGUGAAGUGUGAUUUAAAUAAAUUCAGCAAAUAGUAUUGACAGUCCAUUGUUACUGAUAAGAUAAAGCUGGAAGUAGACGGAGGCUGGAUCAUGCAGGCCUUUGUAGGUCAUAUUUAGAAUCUCAGUUUUUAUCCUAAGAAUGGGAAGCUAUCACAAAGAUUAAGCAUUAGUUUUUAUUUUAUGGCUUGAGUGAAGAAAAGAUUGAAGGGAUACAAAGUGUGUAUCGGAAGCGCAGCAACUGCAGUAAUCCUGGUGGGAGAUUACGGUGAGGGUGGAGAGAGGUAGUGAGAAUCCAGGGAUAUUUAGAAAUGUAAACUCAUAAGAUUUGGCAAUUGAGUGAUAGGAGAAAAAGGGAAAUGCCUUCUAUCUUCUCCAACUGGAUGAGUACCAGGCAUAGGAUAGUUUAUUAGGAAAUAUGUUGAAUUUGGGAUGUUUUUGAGAUACUUAAGUGGAGAUGUCAAACAGCUUGGAGGAGAUCUGGAAGUUACUAGUAACUGAAGUUCAGAGUGGGGAAGAAACUGUUCUAGGAAAAUUAGACUGAGAAGAACAGGACCUAGAAAAACUUUUAGAUUUAAAGGCUGGCAGGAGGAUGAGCCUGCAAAGAGGCUAGGCAGCUGUGGUCAAAGAGGUAGUAGUAAAACCAUGACAGUACAAUAAGACACCAGUGGAAGAGUAUCAAUGAUAAGAAACUAGAAAAUUAUACCAAAUGCUACUGAAAAGUGAGGUAGUGAGGACUGGGAAAUAACCACUGGAUUCACCGAUAGGAAGGUGAUCACCAAGGUGACCUUGGUAAGAACCAUUUCAAUAGAAUGAGGGUUGUAGAAGUCAAAAUGGACUGGGUUGAGGAAUGCAAAUGGAAAAUGACUCGUAAUAUGGAGAGGCCCAAACUAUCUGUUUUGAGAAGUUUAACUGUAAAGUAGAAAAGAUGGAAGCAUAACUGGAGGGGAAAUGAGAUAUGAAGUGGUUUAUUAACAGGGGAGUCUUUAGCAUGUUUAAACACUGAUGAGAAGAAUUCAGUAAAGUGGAAGUCAAAGAUCCACCAAGAGGGAAGGACUAAGAUUCUGAGAACAGGAGUAAGCACUGGCCUUAGACAGAGGUAUGCUUGCCUUGUUUAGACAAGAGAAACAAUGAUGCAAAUGUGUGGGUAAGUAAGUUGGAGGAUGUUGAGAGAAUUACCGAUACCUUCUACUUUUGUCUAUGAGGUAAGAAACAGUUACUUGCAUAAAGUGAAGAUAAUGGUGCGGCGGAGUGACAAGAGAUUUAAGAAUGUUGGUUUGAGAUAGUUAUUGCAGGGAAAAGUUAAAAUGACUAGAAAAAUCUAGGACUAUGGGGCUGAGACUACAUUUGAAGCUGAUAACCAUGGAUUCAUAGUGAUAUAAAUUUCUCCACAGUUGUUUCCUUGGGUGGCAUUUAGCUGUCCAAAUGCAGGCACAGAUAAGUUUCACUUUAUUUAAGGGUUCAAAAAGAGAUGAAAGGCAAGGAAAUUCAACCUAUUGCACGAAAACCACUAGUUUAAGCUAUACAGCAAUCUAAAGAAGGAAGGUACUAAUGCAAAGUAGAAGCAUUGGUUGCAGUGAAAUCAGAGAAUGAUGGAAUAGUUCAAUAAACCAAGUGGAAGGAAUAUGGUCAAUAAAUAAGGUGCAAGUAUUUUGAAGAUAGAGCAGUUUGUGGUGAUGAUAAUGGCCAAGACAUGACAAACGGAGUGAGUGGCCAAGACAGAGUGGAAAUCAUCAGAGAUUGGGCCAAAUAACUAAGAGACAAAACACCAAAUAAAGUGUCUAUGUAAAUGUUAAAAUAUCAAGGAGUGGAUAGGAAGACCAAGGGCUAGCUAUUUAGAGUAAAGUAGCAGCAGAGUAGUACUAAAUGAGAGUGGCAGACAAGUAAUGAGAGGGUUGUAUGGAUGAACAGCCUCAAAAGAAUGAGGCUUUGCAAAGGAGUGGGCAGUUCUGAAGUCACAAUGGCAAGAACACCAAAGUAUCUCCAAUGUUUAUGUUUAUGAUAAUAUGAUAAAACUUGUCAACAUCUAUUCUUUAGUGCUGUGCUUGCAAUAUCACAUUGCUCCCAUUAUGCCAAUGGCUAUCACUUUAUGGCAAGACCUGAGGACCAGGUUAUGGAAGGCAGAGUGGUAGGAAUAAAGUUUUUCUCCUGAACAUUAAACAUUUUUAGAAACAGGAAAGAACCAGGGCAAGAGAUUGACAUUUUAAGAAAGGGAUUAAGAGAGAGGUCAGACUGAGGGACACUUGUUUUUUCAUGCCUAGAGGCAGGUUAAGUACAGACAGAAGCUCUCAAA